GACGUAGGAUGCAAGCGUUGUCCGGAAUUAUUGGGCGUAAAGAGUUCGUAGGUGGUUUAUUAAGUCUGGUGUUAAAUCUCGGGGCUCAACCCCGAUAGGGCAUUGGAAACUGGUUGACUAGAGUGCAGUAGAGGUAACGAGAAUUCCUGGUGUAGCGGUGAAAUGCGUAGAUAUCAGGAGGAAUGCCAGAGGCGAAAGCGCGUUACUGGGCUGUAACUGACACUGAGGAACGAAAGCCAGGGUAGCGAAAGGG
rnacentral:rRNA from 1 species